GCCUAAUCACAUAUAUGAAGUUUUGGAAAGAUCUGACUUUUUUAACCCCUCGAAACAGCCCCUGAGACACCAAUUAUGACACUUCCGGUUGGCACAGGAAGCUAUAAGUCAACACAUAUCCUCAUUGGGGUAUGCUGUUACAGAAUCCUGAGUUUUAAGUCUUUACGUUAAGAAUUGACUGAUUUACACAGGGUUGAAUGCACUAUGUCUAUCAAACUGCAGGCAGGGUAUGGAUAUACACUUUUAGGGGGAUUUGAACCACUUCCGGUUGGUCCAGGAAGCUUAGAAUCAACACAGGUAGACCUCAUAGUGGCCUGAUGGACUGUUACCGAAGACAGGUUCAUACGGCAUUCAUAACCCAUAUAGACUUCAGGUUGAAUUUAGGGGUGCAGGCAAUGUAUUCCUAUGGGGAGAGAAGUCAAUGCAAACUGUUUGAUGUAAACACCUUCUUUUAACUGUUAAGGGUUAAUGCCACAGGGUCAAGGUUAGGCUUGCACGGAUCGGAAGGACCUUAGGAACAUUCCUGUGGUUGAAUUUU
ensembl:lncRNA